rnacentral:rRNA from 1 species
UGGGGAAUAUUGCACAAUGGGCGAAAGCCUGAUGCAGCGACGCCGCGUGAGGGAUGACGGCCUUCGGGUUGUAAACCUCUUUCAUCAGGGAAGAAGCGAAAGUGACGGUACCUGCAGAAGAAGCACCGGCUAACUACGUG